rnacentral:rRNA from 1 species
GACGAACCGUGCGAACGUUAUUCGGAAUCACUGGGCUUAAAGCGCGUGUAGGCGGGCCGCCCCGUCGGCCGCUGAAAUCCCCCGGCUCAACCGGGGAAGUGGCGUCGAUACGAGCGGCCUGGAGGGGAGUAGGGGGGCCUGGAACUCCCGGUGGAGCGGUGAAAUGCGUUGAGAUCGGGAGGAACGCCCGUGGCGAAAGCGAGGCCCUGGACUCUUUCUGACGCUGAGACGCGAAAGCCAGGGGAGCGAACGGG